CUCCCACCCCAUAAUCAAUCUAGUCGAGGUGACAGAGCAAAGUGGUGCCAGGACCUGGCCUGUGUGGCAAAAAUAAGCAGAAGAAUCAGAACAGUAAAUUUCAUUGUUAGCAGCUCUUCUGAGCAAACAGGAGGGAACGAAGAAGGAAAGGAAUAAUAUAACAAAGCAGAGACUUGGAAGAGGAAGGAUACAGUUAUUCCCAAGCAGAGUUGCAGAGAAAGGGUGGGAAUCAAAAAGAGGAGGGAAUCUCAGCACACCCCAAACUUAGGCUAAAUGGUAACAGACAUUUGAUAGAGGGCUUUAAAUUUAAAAACCAACACACAAACAAACAAACAAACAGAAAUAAAAACAAACAACAACAACAAAAAAAAAACCCUUAAUGUAGGAAGAGAAAACAGAAGAGACAAGAAACCAAUUGGAGCAAAGUUACAUUCCCCCAAAUUUAUCGGAAGCGGAAGCUCCCAGGAAGAGAUCUGUGAGUACCAUGGACUACACUGGCUGGAAAAGUGACAUUCCCCCAAAUUCAUCAGAAGUGGACCCGGAAGAGAUCCAAUGAUGGCGAUGGAAGAACAAGGUGCUUCUGGAUGGAAUUCCACAACGACCUGGUAGCCACGUUUGGAAAGCACACAUUUUCCAUGGAGGUGACUCCCUGAGCUACACUUUGGCAUGAUGAAUGGAUCUCCAAUGCUCCAGCAGCCUCAUCCGCAACGGCAAAUAUUCAGUGCAUCCUUACAGCUCUUUGCAGAACCUGCCAACAUGUUGACGAAAUAUGUGGUUUAUAAUAAACUCAUUAGCCUUUUUAUCUAAAAUUGAGGCUGGGCACGUUGGUUCACACCUGUCAUCCCAGAACUUUUGGAGGCUGAGGUGAGAGAAUCUCUUGAGCCCAAGAGUUCAAGACUGCAGUGAGCUAAGAUCACGCCAUUGUACUCCAUCCUGGUGACAGAGGGAGGCCCUGUUUCUACAAUACAUUUAAAAUAAAUAAGAAAAAUAAAAUAGAUAAUAUUUUUGUUUUGCAAUUUGGG
rnacentral:lncRNA from 10 species